rnacentral:rRNA from 1 species
GUGGGGAAUCUUAGACAAUGGGGGAAACCCUGAUCUAGCCAUGCCGCGUGAGCGAUGAAGGCCUUAGGGUUGUAAAGCUCUUUCAGCUGGGAAGAUAAUGACUGUACCAGCAGAAGAAGCCCCGGCUAACUCCGUGCCAGCAGCCGCGGUAAUACGGAGGGGGCUAGCGUUGCUCGGAAUUACUGGGCGUAAAGCGCACGUAGGCGGACCGGAAAGUCAGAGGUGAAAUCCCAGGGCUCAACCUUGGAACUGCCUUUGAAACUCCUGGUCUUGAGGUCGAGAGAGGUGAGUGGAAUUCCGAGUGUAGAGGUGAAAUUCGUAGAUAUUCGGAGGAACACCAGUGGCGAAGGCAGCCAUCUGGCCUAAUACUGACGCUGAGGUACGAAAGCAUGGGGAGCAAACAGGAUUAGAAACCCUGGUAGUCC